rnacentral:rRNA from 1 species
GAGUGGCGGACGGGUGAGUAACACGUGGGUAACCUGCCCUAAAGUGGGGGAUAACAUUUGGAAACAGAUGCUAAUACCGCAUAAAACCUAACACCGCAUGGUGUAGGGUUGAAAGAUGGUUUCGGCUAUCACUUUAGGAUGGACCCGCGGUGCAUUAGUUAGUUGGUGAGGUAAAGGCUCACCAAGACCGUGAUGCAUAGCCGACCUGAGAGGGUAAUCGGCCACACUGGGACUGAGACACGGCCCAGACUCCUACGGGAGGCAGCAGUAGGGAAUCUUCCACAAUGGACGAAAGUCUGAUGGAGCAACGCCGCGUGAGUGAAGAAGGUUUUCGGAUCGUAAAACUCUGUUGUUGGAGAAGAAUGUAUCUGAUAGUAACUGAUCAGGUAGUGACGGUAUCCAACCAGAAAGCCACGGCUAACUACGUGCCAGCAGCCGCGGUAAUACGUAGGUGGCAAGCGUUGUCCGGAUUUAUUGGGCGUAAAGCGAGCGCAGGCGGUUUCUUAAGUCUGAUGUGAAAGCCUUCGGCUCAACCGAAGAAGUGCAUCGGAAACUGGGAAACUUGAGUGCAGAAGAGGACAGUGGAACUCCAUGUGUAGCGGUGAAAUGCGUAGAUAUAUGGAAGAACACCAGUGGCGAAGGCGGCUGUCUGGGUCUGUAACUGACGCUGAGCUCGAAAGCAUGGGUAGCAAACAGGAUUAGAUACCCUGGUAGUCCAUGCCGUAAACGAUGAGUGCUAGGUGUUGGAGGGUUUCCGCCCUUCAGUGCCGCAGCUAACGCAUUAAGCACUCCGCCUGGGGAGUACGACCGCAAGGUUGAAACUCAAAGGAAUUGACGGGGGCCCGCACAAGCGGUGGAGCAUGUGGUUUAAUUCGAAGCAACGCGAAGAACCUUACCAGGUCUUGACAUCCUUUGACCACUCUAGAGAUAGAGCUUUCCCUUCGGGGACAAAGUGACAGGUGGUGCAUGGUUGUCGUCAGCUCGUGUCGUGAGAUGUUGGGUUAAGUCCCGCAACGAGCGCAACCCUUAUUACUAGUUGCCAGCAUUUAGUUGGGCACUCUAGUGAGACUGCCGGUGACAAACCGGAGGAAGGUGGGGACGACGUCAAAUCAUCAUGCCCCUUAUGACCUGGGCUACACACGUGCUACAAUGGAUGGUACAACGAGUUGCGAGACCGCGAGGUUUAGCUAAUCUCUUAAAACCAUUCUCAGUUCGGAUUGUAGGCUGCAACUCGCCUACAUGAAGCCGGAAUCGCUAGUAAUCGCGGAUCAGCAUGCCGCGGUGAAUACGUUCCCGGGCCUUGUACACACCGCCCGUCACACCAUGAGAGUUUGUAACACCCAAAGCCGGUGAGGUAACCC